rnacentral:rRNA from 1 species
AUAUCAAUAAGCGGAGGAAAAGAAACCAACAGGGAUUGCCUUAGUAACGGCGAGUGAAGCGGCAACAGCUCAAAUUUGAAAUCUGGCCCUCUCGGGGUCCGAGUUGUGAUUUGUAGAGGAUGCUUCGGGGUCAGCUCCGGUCUAAGUUCCUUGGAACAGGACGUCAUAGAGGGUGAGAAUCCCGUACGUGACCGGUUGCGCUCCCCAUGUGAAGCUCCUUCGACGAGUCGAGUUGUUUGGGAAUGCAGCUCUAAAUGGGAGGUAAAUUUCUUCUAAAGCUAAAUACCGGCCAGAGACCGAUAGCGCACAAGUAGAGUGAUCGAAAGAUGAAAAGCACUUUGAAAAGAGAGUUAAAAAGUACGUGAAAUUGUUGAAAGGGAAGCGCUUGCAACCAGACUUGCCCGCAGUUGCUCAACCUGUCUUCUGACCGGUGCACUCUUCUGCGGUCAGGCCAGCAUCAGUUUGGGCGGCUGGAUAAAGGCCCUGGGAACGUGGCUCCCCUCGGGGAGUGUUAUAGCCCAGGGUGGAAUGCAGCCCGCCCGGACUGAGGACCGCGCUUCGGCUAGGAUGCUGGCGUAAUGGUUGUAAGCGA